UACGGGGGGGGCAAGCGUUGUUCGGAAUUACUGGGCGUAAAGGGCUCGUAGGCGGCCAACUAAGUCGAACGUGAAAUCCCCGGGCUCAACCCGGGAACUGCGUCCGAUACUGGAAGGCUUGAAUCCGGGAGAGGGAUGCAGAAUUCCAGGUGUAGCGGUGAAAUGCGUAGAUAUCUGGAGGAACACCGGUGGCGAAGGCGGCAUCCUGGACCGGUAUUGACGCUGAGGCGCGAAAGCUAGGGGAGCAAAAGGG
rnacentral:rRNA from 1 species